rnacentral:rRNA from 1 species
CAGUCGCCACGGGAAUACGAAGGGUGCAAGCGUUAAUCGGAAUUACUGGGCGUAAAGCGUGCGUAGGCGGUGAGUUAAGUCUGCUGUGAAAUCCCCGGGCUCAACCUGGGAAUGGCAGUGGAUACUGGCUCGCUAGAGUGUGUCAGAGGAUGGUGGAAUUCCCGGUGUAGCGGUGAAAUGCGUAGAGAUCGGGAGGAACAUCAGUGGCGAAGGCGGCCAUCUGGGACAACACUGACGCUGAGGCACGAAAACGUGGGGAGCAAACAGGAUUAGAUACCCCCGUAGUCCCUGUCUCUUAUAU